AUAUUAUUUUAUAAGCGAUCCAAUUAAUUCCUGGCUAAAAUCUAGUAAUUAAUACGGGUCGUUUAGUGUGGUAUCUGGGGACAAUCACUUGUAACGCGCCGCAAUCCUUGUUAUCGUUACCACCAUGUAAUGACAGAGAUUUGCAUAAGACUUUCGGUUAUAAGUAGAGGGGGUAGGGCUGUGUUUAAACUGUUUCUUUUAUAUUUAGGGGUUGCGCGCGUACUACAAUGGCCUGUAUAAAGCGAAGCGAAACAGUGAUGUGAAGCAAAACGCAUAAAGCAGGUUUCAGUCCGGAUUGAAGUCUGAAACUCGACUUCAUGAAGUUAGAAUCGCUAGUAAUCGUAUAUCAGAAUGAUACGGUGAAUACGUUCUCGGGCCUUGUACACACCGCCUGUCACACCACCCGAGUUGAGGAUAUCCGAAGCUAUUAUUCUAGCUUGUAAGGGAGGAAGGUGUUUAAGGUAUGUUUUUUUGGGAGUGAGGUCGUAACAAGACAGUCAUACUUUUCAGUAUGACCGAAUUACCCUCUUUUAAAGAAAGAGAUAAAUUGGGGUCAAUAAAAUUAAUCAUUUUUUAUACUUUUAUUUUUAUGAAAAAGUUUUUGAAGCCGGAGUAAAUUUUUAGUUUAAAAUUUUUUUUAAAAAAUAAACCCUUAGUAAAUGUUUGGGAGUAUUCAGCCCCAUCUUUAAUUAAGAUUUGUUUAAUAGUAAGUACAAUUUUAGAUUUUAAGGCGAAGGGUUUUUAUAUUAUUAAUUAUAGAUCUUAAAUAUGAUGUAACGAGAAUUGUCUAUUUUUAAAAUUGAGAGUACUUAUUGCAAGUACGUCUUUUAAUAUGGAAAUCGAAUAAUUUUUUUAGUUCUUAUUAAUUAUAGCUUAAAGCAGCUAAUGCCGUAUUAAAACAAUGGAAUACAUGA
rnacentral:misc_RNA from 1 species